rnacentral:rRNA from 1 species
GGUUAAGCGACUAAGCGUACACGGUGGAUGCCCUGGCAGUCAGAGGCGAUGAAGGACGUGCUAAUCUGCGAUAAGCGUCGGUAAGGUGAUAUGAACCGUUAUAACCGGCGAUUUCCGAAUGGGGAAACCCAGUGUGAUUCGUCACACUAUCAUUAACUGAAUCCAUAGGUUAAUGAGGCGAACCGGGGGAACUGAAACAUCUAAGUACCCCGAGGAAAAGAAAUCAACCGAGAUUCCCCCAGUAGCGGCGAGCGAACGGGGAGGAGCCCAGAGCCUGAAUCAGUGUGUGUGUUAGUGGAAGCGUCUGGAAAGGCGCGCGAUACAGGGUGACAGCCCCGUACACAAAAAUGCACAUGCUGUGAGCUCGAUGAGUAGGGCGGGACACGUGGUAUCCUGUCUGAAUAUGGGGGGACCAUCCUCCAAGGCUAAAUACUCCUGACUGACCGAUAGUGAACCAGUACCGUGAGGGAAAGGCGAAAAGAACCCCGGCGAGGGGAGUGAAAAAGAACCUGAAACCGUGUACGUACAAGCAGUGGGAGCCUCUUUAUGGGGUGACUGCGUACCUUUUGUAUAAUGGGUCAGCGACUUAUAUUCUGUAGCAAGGUUAACCGAAUAGGGGAGCCGAAGGGAAACCGAGUCUUAACUGGGCGUUAAGUUGCAGGGUAUAGACCCGAAACCCGGUGAUCUAGCCAUGGGCAGGUUGAAGGUUGGGUAACACUAACUGGAGGACCGAACCGACUAAUGUUGAAAAAUUAGCGGAUGACUUGUGGCUGGGGGUGAAAGGCCAAUCAAACCGGGAGAUAGCUGGUUCUCCCCGAAAGCUAUUUAGGUAGCGCCUCGUGAAUUCAUCUCCGGGGGUAGAGCACUGUUUCGGCAAGGGGGUCAUCCCGACUUACCAACCCGAUGCAAACUGCGAAUACCGGAGAAUGUUAUCACGGGAGACACACGGCGGGUGCUAACGUCCGUCGUGAAGAGGGAAACAACCCAGACCGCCAGCUAAGGUCCCAAAGUCAUGGUUAAGUGGGAAACGAUGUGGGAAGGCCCAGACAGCCAGGAUGUUGGCUUAGAAGCAGCCAUCAUUUAAAGAAAGCGUAAUAGCUCACUGGUCGAGUCGGCCUGCGCGGAAGAUGUAACGGGGCUAAACCAUGCACCGAAGCUGCGGCAGCGACACUAUGUGUUGUUGGGUAGGGGAGCGUUCUGUAAGCCUGUGAAGGUGUGCUGUGAGGCAUGCUGGAGGUAUCAGAAGUGCGAAUGCUGACAUAAGUAACGAUAAAGCGGGUGAAAAGCCCGCUCGCCGGAAGACCAAGGGUUCCUGUCCAACGUUAAUCGGGGCAGGGUGAGUCGACCCCUAAGGCGAGGCCGAAAGGCGUAGUCGAUGGGAAACAGGUUAAUAUUCCUGUACUUGGUGUUACUGCGAAGGGGGACGGAGAAGGCUAUGUUGGCCGGGCGACGGUUGUCCCGGUUUAAGCGUGUAGGCUGGUUUUCCAGGCAAAUCCGGAAAAUCAAGGCUGAGGCGUGAUGACGAGGCACUACGGUGCUGAAGCAACAAAUGCCCUGCUUCCAGGAAAAGCCUCUAAGCAUCAGGUAACAUCAAAUCGUACCCCAAACCGACACAGGUGGUCAGGUAGAGAAUACCAAGGCGCUUGAGAGAACUCGGGUGAAGGAACUAGGCAAAAUGGUGCCGUAACUUCGGGAGAAGGCACGCUGAUAUGUAGGUGAAGUCCCUCGCGGAUGGAGCUGAAAUCAGUCGAAGAUACCAGCUGGCUGCAACUGUUUAUUAAAAACACAGCACUGUGCAAACACGAAAGUGGACGUAUACGGUGUGACGCCUGCCCGGUGCCGGAAGGUUAAUUGAUGGGGUCAGCGCAAGCGAAGCUCUUGAUCGAAGCCCCGGUAAACGGCGGCCGUAACUAUAACGGUCCUAAGGUAGCGAAAUUCCUUGUCGGGUAAGUUCCGACCUGCACGAAUGGCGUAAUGAUGGCCAGGCUGUCUCCACCCGAGACUCAGUGAAAUUGAACUCGCUGUGAAGAUGCAGUGUACCCGCGGCAAGACGGAAAGACCCCGUGAACCUUUACUAUAGCUUGACACUGAACAUUGAGCCUUGAUGUGUAGGAUAGGUGGGAGGCUUAGAAGUGUGGACGCCAGUCUGCAUGGAGCCGACCUUGAAAUACCACCCUUUAAUGUUUGAUGUUCUAACGUUGACCCGUGAUCCGGGUUGCGGACAGUGUCUGGUGGGUAGUUUGACUGGGGCGGUCUCCUCCUAAAGAGUAACGGAGGAGCACGAAGGUUGGCUAAUCCUGGUCGGACAUCAGGAGGUUAGUGCAAUGGCAUAAGCCAGCUUGACUGCGAGCGUGACGGCGCGAGCAGGUGCGAAAGCAGGUCAUAGUGAUCCGGUGGUUCUGAAUGGAAGGGCCAUCGCUCAACGGAUAAAAGGUACUCCGGGGAUAACAGGCUGAUACCGCCCAAGAGUUCAUAUCGACGGCGGUGUUUGGCACCUCGAUGUCGGCUCAUCACAUCCUGGGGCUGAAGUAGGUCCCAAGGGUAUGGCUGUUCGCCAUUUAAAGUGGUACGCGAGCUGGGUUUAGAACGUCGUGAGACAGUUCGGUCCCUAUCUGCCGUGGGCGCUGGAGAACUGAGGGGGGCUGCUCCUAGUACGAGAGGACCGGAGUGGACGCAUCACUGGUGUUCGGGUUGUCAUGCCAAUGGCACUGCCCGGUAGCUAAAUGCGGAAGAGAUAAGUGCUGAAAGCAUCUAAGCACGAAACUUGCCCCGAGAUGAGUUCUCCCUGACUCCUUGAGAGUCCUGAAGGAACGUUGAAGACGACGACGUUGAUAGGCCGGGUGUGUAAGCGCAGCGAUGCGUUGAGCUAACCGGUACUAAUGAACCGUGAGGCUUAACCUU